rnacentral:lncRNA from 1 species
UGUUUGUUUCUCUUACAAUCAAAAAGGGAGUAGAAUUCUGGCAAGUUUUCUAUCUGGGUUUCUGUGAUAGUUCUGCCCUAGCAGGUCUGAACUGGAAGCUGGUGGGGGCGUGGAUUGGUGGAGUAAGGAGGGAGGUGUGCAGGGAGCCAUCUUUUAUCGUAUCAUUUCCUGAGGCCCCACAACGACUUCCUCUACUUCCAACACCUAAAGAUAAUGGCACUGGUUCCACAGCAAGUGUGGGAAUGAUUUUACACAAUAGUAUCUGGGAAAAUAUUUACUUCUGGCCCACUGGCAAAGGAUUGGCCUUUUUAUAUUGUUCUGAAGUUAACUUCAGAGGAGGUCCUUCCCUGAAAAGUCACAGCUGAAGGAACUCACUGCAGACGGUGACUGUUCCUAUGAAGGAUCCUUCUGCCUUUUCAUAACCUGUGUGCUGUUGUUUAAUUCUCAUGGAGAAUGACAAGUUCCACUAAAAUAUGCACAUGGCAUCUCCAAGAAACAGAAGCAAGAAUUAAAGUGAAGGGGUGGUAGGCAAAAAAGGCCAAGAAUGACCAUGAUUAGACCAAGGAACUUCCACUUCCAAGCCGUAGCUGGCUGCAUCCUCUUCAUGACUCUUGGGAAAAUAUUUUCUGUGGAGUCUAAAAGAAACAAAAAUACACCUGAAAAGAAAAAAAGGUAAGCAUUCCUUACAAAAGAGAAAAUUUCCCUUCCAUGUUAUGUGUCUACAGACAAAUAUUUUUCUUCACAUGCACUUUUGGAGUAAGGACUAUAUGCGUAGCUAUAGUUUACACCUGUAUAUACUCAGGAAGUAUUUGGAUUAUGAUGGUAUGAUGAUAGUUGUUAAAGAAAGUUCUUUUGCAUGUGAAAAAGAAAGGGAAGACAAGGCAAACAGCAGUCUGUUCAGCAUUAUCCUUUCAAUGAAUUCUACCCUUUUAUACAAUAAAAAGCUGUGGCUGUAUUAUAGGCCCUGGGUUAAAUAAAAGCAAACCACACUCUUUGUUCAA